rnacentral:rRNA from 1 species
CAGUCGCCACGGGAAUACGUAGGGUGCAAGCGUUAAUCGGAAUUACUGGGCGUAAAGCGUGCGCAGGCGGUUAUAUAAGACAGAUGUGAAAUCCCCGGGCUCAACCUGGGAACUGCAUUUGUGACUGUAUAGCUAGAGUACGGCAGAGGGGGAUGGAAUUCCGCGUGUAGCAGUGAAAUGCGUAGAUAUGCGGAGGAACACCGAUGGCGAAGGCAAUCCCCUGGGCCUGUACUGACGCUCAUGCACGAAAGCGUGGGGAGCAAACAGGAUUAGAUACCCCCGUAGUCCCUGUCUCUUAUAU